GACGAACGCUGGCGGCGUGCUUAACACAUGCAAGUCGAACGGAAAGGCCCUGCUUUUGUGGGGUGCUCGAGUGGCGAACGGGUGAGUAACACGUGAGUAACCUGCCCUUGACUUUGGGAUAACUUCAGGAAACUGGGGCUAAUACCGGAUAGGAGCUCCUGCUGCAUGGUGGGGGUUGGAAAGUUUCGGCGGUUGGGGAUGGACUCGCGGCUUAUCAGCUUGUUGGUGGGGUAGUGGCUUACCAAGGCUUUGACGGGUAGCCGGCCUGAGAGGGUGACCGGCCACAUUGGGACUGAGAUAGGGCCCAGACUCCUACGGGAGGCAGCAGGGGGGAAUAUUGCACAGUGGGCGGAAGCCUGAUGCAGCAACCCCGCGUGCGGGAUGACGGCCUUCGGGUUGUAAACCGCUUUCGCCUGUGACGAAGCGUGAGUGACGGUAAUGGGUAAAGAAGCACCGGCUAACUACGUG
rnacentral:rRNA from 1 species